CUACUCAUCUGACGACUAGCAGGUAACUAGUUCUAAUACUCUACUACUCACCUGACGACCAGCAGGUAACUAGUUCUACUACUCUACUACUCACCUGACGACUAGCAGGUAACUAGUUCUACUACUCUACUACACACCUGACGACCAGCAG